GACGAACGCUGGCGGCGUGCUUAACACAUGCAAGUCGAACGAAGAGCGAUGGAAGCUUGCUUCUAUCAAUCUUAGUGGCGAACGGGUGAGUAACGCGUAAUCAACCUGCCCUUCAGAGGGGGACAACAGUUGGAAACGACUGCUAAUACCGCAUACGAUCUAAUCUCGGCAUCGAGGAUAGAUGAAAGGUGGCCUCUACAUGUAAGCUAUCACUGAAGGAGGGGAUUGCGUCUGAUUAGCUAGUUGGAGGGGUAACGGCCCACCAAGGCGAUGAUCAGUAGCCGGUCUGAGAGCAUGAACGGCCACAUUGGGACGGAGACACGGCCCAGACUCCUACGGGAGGCAGCAGUGGGGAAUCUUCCGCAAUGGACGAAAGUCUGACGGAGCAACGCCGCGUGAGUGAUGACGGCCUUCGGGUUGUAAAGCUCGGUUAAUCGGGACGAAAGGCCUUCUUGCGAAUAGUGAGAAGGAUUGACGGUACCGGAAUAGAAAGCCACGGCUAACUACGUG
rnacentral:rRNA from 1 species